GAUGAACGCUGGCGGCGUGCCUAAUACAUGCCAGUCGAGCGAACAGACGAGGAGCUUGCUCCUCUGACGUUAGCGGCGGACGGGUGAGUAACACGUGGAUAACCUACCUAUAAGACUGGGAUAACUUCGGGAAACCGGAGCUAAUACCGGAUAAUAUAUUGAACCGCAUGGUUCAAUAGUGAAAGACGGUUUUGCUGUCACUUAUAGAUGGAUCCGCGCCGCAUUAGCUAGUUGGUAAGGUAACGGCUUACCAAGGCAACGAUGCGUAGCCGACCUGAGAGGGUGAUCGGCCACACUGGAACUGAGACACGGUCCAGACUCCUACGGGAGGCAGCAGUAGGGAAUCUUCCGCAAUGGGCGAAAGCCUGACGGAGCAACGCCGCGUGAGUGAUGAAGGUCUUCGGAUCGUAAAACUCUGUUAUUAGGGAAGAACAAAUGUGUAAGUAACUAUGCACGUCUUGACGGUACCUAAGCAGAAAGCCACGGCUAACUACGG
rnacentral:rRNA from 1 species